CCCCUCUCAGGGUCGCACCUGGAGAGUUUCCAGUUCUACCAGUUUCGGCUACUGGACGGAGAGUCAAGCAGAGGCCUAUCCAUUCCAGUCCUAGCUUAGGCAGUAGCUAGCGAAGGGAAGACAAUCUGCUACAAGU